rnacentral:rRNA from 1 species
UGGGGAAUUUUGGACAAUGGGCGCAAGCCUGAUUCAGCAAUGCCGCGUGCAGGAUGAAGGCCUUCGGGUUGUAAACUGCUUUUGUACGGAGCGAAAAGGUCUGCCCUAAUACGGUGGGCCCAUGACGGUACCGUAAGAAUAAGCACCGGCUAACUACGUGCCAGCAGCCGCGGUAAUACGUAGGGUGCGAGCGUUAAUCGGAAUUACUGGGCGUAAAGCGUGCGCAGGCGGUUAUAUAAGACAGAUGUGAAAUCCCCGGGCUCGACCUGGGACCUGCAUUUGUGACUGGAAAACUAGAGGACGGUAGAGGAGAAUGGAAUUCCUCGUGUAGCAGUGAAAUGCGUAGAUAUGAGGAGGAACACCGGUGGCGAAGGCGGUCCCCUGGACCUGUACUGACGCUGAUGCACGAAAGCGUGGGGAGCAAACA